rnacentral:rRNA from 1 species
ACGUGGGUAACCUGCCUGUAAGACUGGGAUAACUCCGGGAAACCGGGGCUAAUACCGGAUGGUUGUUUGAACCGCAUGGUUCAGACAUAAAAGGUGGCUUCGGCUACCACUUACAGAUGGACCCGCGGCGCAUUAGCUAGUUGGUGAGGUAACGGCUCACCAAGGCGACGAUGCGUAGCCGACCUGAGAGGGUGAUCGGCCACACUGGGACUGAGACACGGCCCAGACUCCUACGGGAGGCAGCAGUAGGGAAUCUUCCGCAAUGGACGAAAGUCUGACGGAGCAACGCCGCGUGAGUGAUGAAGGUUUUCGGAUCGUAAAGCUCUGUUGUUAGGGAAGAACAAGUGCCGUUCAAAUAGGGCGGCACCUUGACGGUACCUAACCAGAAAGCCACGGCUAACUACGUGCCAGCAGCCGCGGUAAUACGUAGGUGGCAAGCGUUGUCCGGAAUUAUUGGGCGUAAAGGGCUCGCAGGCGGUUUCUUAAGUCUGAUGUGAAAGCCCCCGGCUCAACCGGGGAGGGUCAUUGGAAACUGGGGAACUUGAGUGCAGAAGAGGAGAGUGGAAUUCCACGUGUAGCGGUGAAAUGCGUAGAGAUGUGGAGGAACACCAGUGGCGAAGGCGACUCUCUGGUCUGUAACUGACGCUGAGGAGCGAAAGCGUGGGGAGCGAACAGGAUUAGAUACCCUGGUAGUCCACGCCGUAAACGAUGAGUGCUAAGUGUUAGGGGGUUUCCGCCCCUUAGUGCUGCAGCUAACGCAUUAAGCACUCCGCCUGGGGAGUACGGUCGCAAGACUGAAACUCAAAGGAAUUGACGGGGGCCCGCACAAGCGGUGGAGCAUGUGGUUUAAUUCGAAGCAACGCGAAGAACCUUACCAGGUCUUGACAUCCUCUGACAAUCCUAGAGAUAGGACGUCCCCUUCGGGGGCAGAGUGACAGGUGGUGCAUGGUUGUCGUCAGCUCGUGUCGUGAGAUGUUGGGUUAAGUCCCGCAACGAGCGCAACCCUUGAUCUUAGUUGCCAGCAUUCAGUUGGGCACUCUAAGGUGACUGCCGGUGACAAACCGGAGGAAGGUGGGGAUGACGUCAAAUCAUCAUGCCCCUUAUGACCUGGGCUACACACGUGCUACAAUGGACAGAACAAAGGGCAGCGAAACCGCGAGGUUAAGCCAAUCCCACAAA